AGAGUUUGAUCCUGGCUCAGAUUGAACGCUGGCGGCAUGCCUUACACAUGCAAGUCGAACGGCAGCACGGGGGCAACCCUGGUGGCGAGUGGCGAACGGGUGAGUAAUACAUCGGAACGUGCCCAGUAGUGGGGGAUAGCUCGGCGAAAGCCGGAUUAAUACCGCAUACGACCUACGGGUGAAAGCGGGGGAUCGCAAGACCUCGCGCUAAUGGAUGAGCCUACGUCGGAUUAGCUAGUUGGUAGGGUAACGGCCUACCAAGGCGACGAUCCGUAGCUGGUCUGAGAGGAUGAUCAGCCACACUGGGACUGAGACACGGCCCAGACUCCUACGGGAGGCAGCAGUGGGGAAUAUUGGACAAUGGGCGCAAGCCUGAUCCAGCCAUGCCGCGUGAGUGAUGAAGGCCUUAGGGUUGUAAAGCUCUUUCGACGGGGACGAUAAUGACGGUACCCGUAGAAGAAGCCCCGGCUAACUUCGUGCCAGCAGCCGCGGUAAUACGAAGGGGGCUAGCGUUGCUCGGAAUCACUGGGCGUAAAGCGCACGUAGGCGGAUCUUUAAGUCAGGGGUGAAAUCCCAAGGCUCAACCUUGGAACUGCCUUUGAUACUGGGGAUCUCGAGUCCGGAAGAGGUGAGUGGAACUGCGAGUGUAGAGGUGAAAUUCGUAGAUAUUCGCAAGAACACCAGUGGCGAAAGCGGCUCACUGGUCCGGUACUGACGCUGAGGUG
rnacentral:rRNA from 1 species